rnacentral:rRNA from 1 species
CUACGGGUGGCAGCAGUGGGGAAUAUUGGGCAAUGGGCGCAAGCCUGACCCAGCAACGCCGCGUGAAGGAUGAAGGUUUUCGGAUUGUAAACUUCUUUUGUCAGGGAAGAUAAUGACGGUACCUGACGAAUAAGCCACGGCUAACUACGUGCCAGCAGCCGCGGUAAUACGUAGGUGGCAAGCGUUGUCCGGAUUUACUGGGUGUAAAGGGCGUGUAGGCGGGACUGCAAGUCAGAUGUGAAAACUAUGGGCUCAACCCAUAGCCUGCAUUUGAAACUGUAGUUCUUGAGUGAUGGAGAGGCAGGCGGAAUUCCUAGUGUAGCGGUGAAAUGCGUAGAUAUUAGGAGGAACACCAGUGGCGAAGGCGGCCUGCUGGACAUUAACUGACGCUGAGGCGCGAAAGCGUGGGGAGCAAACAGGAUUAGAUACCCCCGUAGUC